UACAGAGGUGGCAAGCGUUGUUCGGAAUUACUGGGCGUAAAGGGCGAGUAGGUGGCCAUCUAAGUCAGACGUGAAAUCCCCCGGCUUAACCUGGGAACUGCGUCUGAUACUGGACGGCUUGAGUAUGGGAGAGGAACGUAGAAUUCCAGGUGUAGCGGUGAAAUGCGUAGAUAUCUGGAGGAAUACCGGUGGCGAAGGCGGCGUUCUGGACCAUUACUGACACUGAGGCGCGAAAGCGUGGGGAGCAAACAGG
rnacentral:rRNA from 1 species